GGGAUUUUCCUGAACUGUUGUUGUGCAGUUUUGGUUGUUUAGGCUGAGUGAUGCGACUUAGCUGAGGUAUGAUGUGAUAGGGAUCAUUUCCCGUUGUUUUUGAGUAGCAUAGGUAUUAGUAGAGUGUGCUAAUACUGUGUUUGAUUAUGUGGCAUGAUAUAAUAUGCUUUUGUGAUAAAUUGUGUUGACAAUGUGUGAUGGUAUACAUGAUG
rnacentral:lncRNA from 1 species